UAAUGUCAGCGAGCCUUCUCU
rnacentral:piRNA from 1 species